AGCAUGGAGGAGCUCCGUCUGUGAGCCUCUGCUGCGUCCGCGUGCGAGUGCAGUGCUGGAAGUUUGGUGACGUUGUUCGACGGAGACUCGAAGCAGCCAGCAAAGCAGCCAGCAGAGCAGCCAGCAGAGCAGCCAUGAGGAUGACAGCACUCGCUUCUUGACUCCAUUAAUCCGAGAGGAGAGGUCUGACAGUGCAGCGGACAAAAUCAGGCCAAGCAAAAGAAGUGGAAGAAACUGAUAUGGAAACCUCAAAGGAGCUGUCCAUUCAGCACCACGUCUGAACUCAGAGCACUGACAAGAGUCAAACUACCGUCACGCACAGCAAGAAAGAUCAAAGAUAUGAGAACCUUUCAUAGUACAAAAUAAACCAGUCCAGGUUUCAAAGGCAACAAAACAUCACAUUUUAAAUAUAGCCAAUUUUUGUUCUGCUGCAUCAAAUCCGUCUUCCAGUCAUUACACAUGGUAUUAGCUGUGUUAUGCUUAACUUUUUAAUAGGUUGGUUCAGUUUGACUAACCAAAAUGCAUUCAAAAGCCUG